rnacentral:rRNA from 1 species
GACGAACGCCGGCGGCGUGCUUAACACAUGCAAGUCGAACGAAGAGCGAUGGAAGCUUGCUUCUAUCAAUCUUAGUGGCGAACGGGUGAGUAACGCGUAAUCAACCUGCCCUUCAGAGGGGGACAACAGUUGGAAACGACUGCUAAUACCGCAUACGAUCCAAUCUCGGCAUCGAGGAUGGAUGAAAGGUGGCCUCUAUUUAUAAGCUAUCACUGAAGGAGGGGAUUGCGUCUGAUUAGCUAGUUGGAGGGGUAACGGCCCACCAAGGCGAUGAUCUGUAGCCGGUCUGAGAGGAUGAAUGGCCACAUUGGGACUGAGACACGGCCCAGACUCCUACGGGAGGCAGCAGUGGGGAAUCUUCCGCAAUGGACGAAAGUCUGACGGAGCAACGCCGCGUGAGUGAUGACGGCCUUCGGGUUGUAAAGCUCUGUUAAUCGGGACGAAAGGCCUUCUUGCGAAUAGUUAGAAGGAUUGACGGUACCGGAAUAGAAAGCCACGGCUAACUACGUGCCAGCAGCCGCGGUAAUACGUAGGUGGCAAGCGUUGUCCGGAAUUAUUGGGCGUAAAGCGCGCGCAGGCGGAUUGGUCAGUCUGUUUUAAAAGUUCGGGGCUUAACCCCGUGAUGGGAGGGAAACUGCCAAUCUAGAGUAUCGGAGAGGAAAGUGGAAUUCCUAGUGUAGCGGUGAAAUGCGUAGAUAUUAGGAAGAACACCAGUGGCGAAGGCGACUUUCUGGACGAAAACUGACGCUGAGGCGCGAAAGCCAGGGGAGCGAACGGGAUUAUAUACCCCGGUUAGUCCUGGCCGUAAACGAU